rnacentral:tRNA from 1 species
UCCUUCAUAGCUCAGUUGGUAAAGAGUCUGCCUGCAAUGCAGGAGACCUAGGUUCGAUUCCUGGGUUGGGAA